UGCCUUUCACAGUUGGCCCAGAGACUAGA
rnacentral:piRNA from 1 species